rnacentral:rRNA from 1 species
CUACGGGUUGCAGCAGUGGGGAAUAUUGCACAAUGGAGGAAACUCUGAUGCAGCAACGCCGCGUGGAGGAUGACACUUUUCGGAGCGUAAACUCCUUUUAUAUAGGAAGAAGAUGACGGUACUAUAUGAAUAAGCGCCGGCUAACUCCGCGCCAGCAGCCGCGGUAGUACGGAGGGCGCAAGCGUUACUCGGAAUCACUGGGCGUAAAGAGCGUGUAGGCGGAUUAAAAAGUCAGAAGUGAAAUCCUAUAGCUUAACUAUAGAACUGCUUCUGAAACUCUUAAUCUAGAAUAUGGGAGAGGUAGAUGGAAUUUCUGGUGUAGGGGUAAAAUCCGUAGAGAUCAGAAGGAAUACCGAUUGCGAAGGCGAUCUACUAGAACAUUAUUGACGCUGAGACGCGAAAGCGUGGGGAGCAAACAGGAUUAGAUACCCUAGUAGUC